UAUUUUUUUUAAAAAGGAUGAAGAAAUUAUUUGAACAAAAUUUCUUGUACCUGACGUGUUACUUGAAAUAACAAUAAUGAAUCUAUGAUUCUUCAUGUUACUUUGGAAUUCGCAUUGUAGAAAAGGGCUGAUUUUAAUACGGUCCUAAAUCUUUAGGCGUAGGAAAUGCAUUCUGGUUUGCUUUGCAUAUGCGUCAUACAACACGCUAGCUGUAGGGUACGACGAAUUCUUUCCACUAUAUGCUGCAACGUCGAAACAAUACGGAGGUUACGAUUUUAACAUUACUCAAAUUGGUACAGCCCUACUCAUUGUUGCUAUGGUAACGAUAACCCUCGAAGUAGCUUUAUUUACCAAGCUAGUCAAAAAAUUUGGAGCAAAACUGGUA